rnacentral:rRNA from 1 species
UACGUAGGGCGCAAGCGUUGUCCGGAAUUAUUGGGCGUAAAGAGCUCGUAGGCGGUUUGUCGCGUCUGGUGUGAAAACUCAAGGCUCAACCUUGAGCUUGCAUCGGGUACGGGCAGACUAGAGUGCGGUAGGGGUGACUGGAAUUCCUGGUGUAGCGGUGGAAUGCGCAGAUAUCAGGAGGAACACCGGUGGCGAAGGCGGGUCUCUGGGCAGUAACUGACGCUGAGGAGCGAAAGCGUGGGGAGCGAACAGG